GCUAUGGCAGAACAUGCUUGUAGCCCCAGCUACUCGGGAGGCUGAGGUUGGAGGAUCACUUGAACACAGGAGUUCUGGGCUGUAGUGUGCUAUGCUGAUCGGAUGUCCACACUAAGUUAGGCAUUACUAUGGUGAUCUCCCAGGAGCAGGUGACCACCAUGUUGCCUAAAGAAGGGGUGAAUUGGCCCAGGAGAAAUGGAGCAGGCUAAAACUCCCAUGCUGGGCUGGGUAUAGUGACUCACACCUGUAAUCUCAGCACUUUGGGAGGCCAAGGCAGGAGGAUCACUUGAGCUCAGGAGUUUGAGACCAGCCUGGCAACAUAGCAAGACCUCAUCUCU
rnacentral:SRP_RNA from 1 species